rnacentral:rRNA from 1 species
GAUGAACGCUGGCGGCGUGCCUAAUACAUGCAAGUCGAGCGAACAGACGAGGAGCUUGCUUCUCUGACGUUAGCGGCGGACGGGUGAGUAACACGUGGAUAACCUACCUAUAAGACUGGGAUAACUUCGGGAAACCGGAGCUAAUACCGGAUAAUAUAUUGAACCGCAUGGUUCAAUAGUGAAAGACGGUUUUGCUGUCACUUAUAGAUGGAUCCGCGCCGCAUUAGCUAGUUGGUAAGGUAACGGCUUACCAAGGCAACGAUGCGUAGCCGACCUGAGAGGGUGAUCGGCAAACCUGGACUUAGAACCGGGUCAGAACCCUAAGGGGGGCCGCAGUAGGGAAUCUUCCGCAAUGGGCGAAAGCCUGACGGAGCAACGCCGCGUGAGUGAUGAAGGUCUUCGGAUCGUAAAACUCUGUUAUUAGGGAAGAACAAAUGUGUAAGUAACUAUGCACGUCUUGACGGUACCUAAUCAGAAAGCCACGGCUAACUACGUG